AAAUGUACUACUGGUAGUCAUGUGCUCACUAUCUCUGCCUUACUCUUGAUUCCUGCCUCCAGUGAACCCAGGAUGAAGGAGUGUUUCGACUCAUCUGACUCAUUAUGCCUUCUUUGCCCUGGAUCUGUGAAAUGUUCACCAAGACAGACAAAUGUAGAUGGAUUUCAAACUUUUUGGGACAGAGCAAAAGCAGUGUUUGGAAGAGAAUGGACAAUUUUGUAUGGUUAUAUUAGAAUCAAAGAAAUAAGUGAUAUAAACAUUAAAAGCUAAUCUCCAAGUAAUUAGAAGGAAAAAUAUAAUAAAUAUAAGAAGAUAAAUUAUUAAAAAAUAGAAACAAGCAAUACAGAAAGUUGGCAAAGACAAAACUUGUUUCUCUUUACUAGUCAAUAAAUGAAGGGGUAAGACAAAAUUUACCAAUAUGGGUAAUAAAAUGAGGAUGUCACUGUAGAUUUUAUAAUGUUACUACAAAUGUAACCAAUUAGAAGUACAGAAGUUCUAAUGAAAUAAUAUUCUCAAGAUGAAAUAAAAAGUCUCGAUAGCUCUGUAUCUAUUAAAGCAAUUGAUCUUACAAUAAAAAAUUUUCCACAUAGGAAUCUCCUAGACCAAGUAGUUUUAAUAGUAAAUUUUAUCAUUUAUGAAUAGCAGAAAUAAUACCA
rnacentral:lncRNA from 1 species